CAAACGCGCCCGCAUUAUAGGUUUUGGCGGAAGAGUUCUUGACGAUUCUUUACCCAAAUACUUGAAUU
rnacentral:snoRNA from 1 species